ACCCUGCCACAACACACAAUUAAAGUACUAAUUGUUCGCCAAACAACUACGAGUAGUAACUUAAAACUUAAAAGACUUGACGGUGCUUCACCACAACCUAGAGGAGCCUGUCCAUAACCGACAACCCACGAUUAACCCCACCCUCUCUCGCCAACAGUCUAUAUACCACCGUCAUAAGCUUACCUUGUAAAAGAAACAAAAUGAGCUAAAUAGCACUACGCUAAAACGACAGGUCGAGGUGUAACCCAUGAGAGGGCAAAGAUGGGCUACAUUCUCCUACAGAGCAUACGAAUAACACUAUGAAUAUAGUGACUGAAGGUGGAUUUAGUAGUAAGAUAGGAAUAAAAUACCAAACUGAACAUAAAGCAAUGAAGUGCGUACACACCGCCCGUCAUCCCUGCCCAUAU
rnacentral:rRNA from 1 species